AUGGAUCGUAAAUUGGAUGUGUUUAAUCUGGGCAUCAAGGACCCAUGGAAGCUUUGCAUUCCGGGUUAUGGAACUAGAUGGAACUCUAUAUUCUAUAUUAGGGGAGCAGGAACCUCAUUCCUUCCAUUGCCUGCUAUGAACCCCUUCAGUAUUCCCCAGUAUCUGCAGAUUGUGAGGGACUGAGCCAGCACCUCCAAUGCC
rnacentral:lncRNA from 1 species